CUUUUGCAGAGCCCAGUAGUUACUGGCCAGGCAUGUGGUCUUGAAGGCGUUUCAGUGUCAUGAAGAAGCAAGAUGCAGCAAGAGUCAAAAGAAGAAACUGAGAUUGAGUAACUAUGAAGGCAUGGCCACAGCAAGUGAUAGAAAAAUCAGGAGAGAGUGCUAUCGCAGAAGCCAAUGAGAAAGAGUGUUUCAAGAGGGAAUGAUGUCCACCUGCAUCAAAUACUGCUCAGAAAUCAGUUGCUGUUGAAUAUGGGUAAUCUACAUCCUGUUGCCUGAAGCUUGAAGUUCUCAUCUGCCCCCUCUCAGUAUGUACUUGUGAAAGAUGCAGACCUCAUCUGAGUUGAAGUAACCUAGGAGACCAAAAUAAAUGAUUCCUGCAGAAAGCUUGAGUGACAUUUUCAGAGCUGCAAUCCCUGCUUCUUCUUAAAAUGGCUAUAUACAUUGUAGGUUGGGAGGGUCAGAAGGCUGAUCACGGAAAUAUCUCGGAGGUAGAGUGGUGUGUGGGAGUAGGCAAUGAGAGAGGUAAGAGGACAAAAUGUAGAGAAGGAAGCAGAAUGGGCUAUCACCUUCUUUUGUUUCUUCCCACUGUAUGUGCCCCCAAGGAAGCCCCUCAGCUGCUCCCUUCCUUGCCCCCAUGACCCACAGACGGUGGUUGAACCACAGCUCUCUCUUUCUGAUAACACCCUUUGGUGUGAAACAAGUAAGACUCCAGAUUCCUGUUUGCUCUAAAAAUCCUGAAUGGCCUUCUGUAAUCAUUACAUUUUAUUACUCUCAUUUGAUUGUUUUGUUUUUUUUUUCCCCGUUAGAUAUUUUCUAACUGCUCUUCUGCAGACAGGACACUCGCAAAUGAACACAGCAAGCACACAGGCAUCUGUGUCUCUAUUCAGAAGUAUCACAAGUGAAAGGAUGAUGCCCAUUGCCUGGGGCCCUUUUUAUUCCACUUAGCCUGACUACUGAACUGGCAAGUGCAGGUAACGGCUUUCUCGCAGAGUCUCUGAGCACCGUGACUGUGUAAUGACAGCUGUGGUUGGAGGGCCCAAAGCUGCCUCACAAAUACAUUUACUGUUUCUGAGGAAAUGGUAUAUGAAUUGGGUUUUUUGAGUGUUGGAAAGAGAAGGCUAAAAGGUGCUUUAGUUUAUAAUUUUCAAGUAUAUGAAAGGGCGGGGUAUUUUUCCUCCUAAGGAGAAUGAAAGCUUUUAAUGCUUACAAUGAAAUAUGAAGUAGUAAACUUAAAGCAGACAAUCUUUCCAUUGGCGUGAGAAAGCAG
rnacentral:lncRNA from 10 species